GACAGAGGGUGCGAACGUUGUUCGGAAUUACUGGGCGUAAAGCGCAUGUAGGCGGCCGGGUAGGUCGGAUGUGAAAGCCCUUGGCUCAACCAAGGAAGUGCAUUCGAAACCCCCCGGCUCGAGUCCCGGAGAGGAAGUUGGAAUUCUCGGUGUAGAGGUGAAAUGCGCAGAUAUCGGGAGGAACACCAGUGGCGAAGGCGGCUCACUGGCCCGGUACUGACGCUGAGGCACGAAAGCGUGGGGAGCAAACAGG
rnacentral:rRNA from 1 species